AGAUAAAGAGAGAUCAGAAAUACAAGAGGCAGAGGAAGCAAGGUUGAAGAGGAUUGGGGAACACAUCAACAUGCAUACACUGAACUUACACAAUGUAGCUGUAGAGGUUGAUCUGACUAACUGAAAUGGAUUGGUUUGAUUUUGAGUUUUGUAUCAAGUUGUAUUGCUACUCUGCCAAAAAAUUAAUUGCUGCCUAGCUAAUAAUUAUUUUAAAAUAAAAUUGUUUUUCUAAAUAUAUGUACAAUGUGUAAUUAGUUUGUUCUUUAGUGACUCCUUUUGAUGCAAGUACUCACAAUUAAUUAUUGUAUAGCUUCAAAUUUUUAUUGUUAAAGUUAUUUUUCAUCAUUUCUGUUAUAAAUCUGCA